rnacentral:rRNA from 1 species
GAUGAACGCUGGCGGCGUGCCUAAUACAUGCAAGUCGAGCGAACAGACGAGGAUCUUGCUCCUCUGACGUUAGGGGCGGACGGGUGAGUAACACGUGGAUAACCUACCUAUAAGAAUGGGAUAACUUCGGGAAACCGGAUCUAAUACCGGAUAAUAUAUUGAACCGCAUGGUUCAAUAGUGAAAGACGGAUUUGCUGUGACUUAUAGAUGGUCCCGCGCCGCAUUAGCUAGUUGGUAAGGUAACGGCUUACCAAGGCAACGAUGCGUAGGCGACCGGAGAGGGUGAUCGGCCACACUGGAACUGAGACACGGUCCAGACUCCUACGGAAGGCAGCAGGAGGGAAUCUUCCGCAAGGGGCGAAAGCCUGGCGGAGCAACGCCGCGUGAGUGAUGAAGGUCUUCGGAUCGUAAAACUCUGUUAUUAGGGAAGAACAAAUGUGUAAGUAACUAUGCACGUCUUGACGGUACCUAAGCAGAAAGCCACGGCUAACUACGU